CAGUAGCCGCGGUAAUACGUAGGUGGCAAGCGUUGUCCGGAAUUAUUGGGCGUAAAGGGCUCGCAGGCGGUUUCUUAAGUCUGAUGUGAAAGCCCCCGGCUCAACCGGGGAGGGUCAUUGGAAACUGGGAAACUUGAGUGCAGAAGAGGAGAGCGGAAUUCCACGUGUAGCGGUGAAAUGCGUAGAGAUGUGGAGGAACACCAGUGGCGAAGGCGACUCUCUGGUCUGUAACUGACGCUGAGGAGCGAAAGCGUGGGGAGCGAACAGGAUUAGAUACCCCAGUAGUCCCUGUCUCUUAAAA
rnacentral:rRNA from 1 species